AAGUCGUAACAAGGUUUCCGUAGGUGAACCUGCGGAAGGAUCAUUAACACGUAUCCAACGUUAAAAACACCCCUGUGAACCCGUUAAUCUUGCUCCUCACGCCCUGCACGCCUAGCAAUCCCUGGUAAAUCAUUGUCUGAACAGAUUUUGAGUCAGGGACCUCUGCCGAUUGUGAUAUUUUAUAGCUACGGUUGAGCGAUUGCAUCUAGUGACCUGGCAUCCCCAAGUAAUCAGUGUCUGAAAGUGUCAUUGAUUAUGUAAGGAUGGCGCAGUCACGAUCGCUGUAGGCCCACACGGCCGGCGACCGGGUCACCGGGCUCUGCCCCUUUACGACAACACAGUACGAAUUGGCCGCGCGUGAAAUUCGCACGGCACCAAAAACCGAACAACUGUUAACAAUGGAUAUCUUGGUUCUC
rnacentral:misc_RNA from 1 species